AGUCACCCUCAGUCUCCGAACUUGGAUGGAGUAGAACGGUUAUUGCUCUGUUUACCAUGGUCAUUUGGCUUGUACAUAAUAAAAUAGGCAUUAUAGUUGUUCACAACAAAUACAGCUUUGCUAGACUGUGAUUUAGGUAGUACUAGUUUAACACAGGACAGAGUUAAAUAUUUAACACAAUGCCAGUUUCUUUAACUCACAAAAGUGUUAAAGGGGUCAUAUUAUGACAUGUUUUAUUGUGUGAAAUAAAUGUUUGGUGUCCCCAGAAUGCAUAUGUGAAGUUUUAGCUUAAAAUACCCCACAGAUAAUUUAUUAUAGCAUGUUAAAAUUGCCACUUUGUAAGUGCGAGCAAAAACGUGCCGUUUUGGAGUGUGUGCUUUAAAGGAAACAGCCAACAUCUAAACCUGAGCUAAGAAAAAAACACAUAGCACAGAGAUGGUGAUGGAGAGAAUAAAGUAAAAGAUUGCAGAUCUUCAUCAGUGUUACUUUUUAACACACUUUAAGAUUGGGACUCUAUAUAUAUAUAUAUAACCCACCAGUGUUCGUUUAACUAGAGUUCAAGGACAACGAACACAAAAAGUUUAUAAAAGUUCAUUACAGUUAAAAUCGGAGCAUUAAAAAUUAGUUUAAAUAAUUUAGUUUCACUAAAUGACAGGCGACCAGCCCAAACGGAAGACUGAAAUGUGUGGGUGGACUGUAAUUGCAUCUCUAACUGUAUGUUCACAACGCUGAUGGAGACUGCUUAAAAAAAUGCUCUGGCUGCCCUGCAAACGACGCUAUAGAAAAAGAGUAGCAGACACUCGAAUACAUUCUCUGGAAUCCUUUUCCACCUUGUGAUUGGUUGCCGCCGAAUGUUUUCUCUGACUUCCGGCCACAUUAACGCUCUCGUCGGUGGCGGUGUGAACGCAUAGUAAGGAAACUGGCAUUAUUUACUCUGUCAAUGAACUCCAACUCUGAACAACAAUUUACUCUGAAUAUGUUAAAUUUACUCUUUAGGUGUUCAAUUCAAGUCAGAAAUGUUUAACACUGAAAUUUUUACUUUCCAAUUUUGCUGUGUACUUAAGCACAACUAUAUUAAAGAAGAAAACGGUUAACCAAAAGGACCUAUCAGACAUUGGCUGAAACACAAAAUGCUUUUUUCUGCUUUUGGUCUUUCUGCAUUAAAUUACCUCAGUGAGCCAUCAUGUUGCCUCGGUUUAUACAGAGUCAUCUAGCCGGGUACCAUUGCAACAAUGCACAGAAAAAUGACAGCCAUUCUUGUAUGUAGAUUUGAAUGGGUGAAAUUUGUUACUCUAUUGAAGUUCUUUGGCCUCAAAAAGCAAAAUUAAUAUCAAGUUAGUUUGUCUUUAAUGUAAUCUCUUUUGUAUUUUAGACAAGGGAAAUGAAGGACUUUGCUGUCUCUUAAGAAGAAGAUCGUCAGUGGUGACAGAAGGAUUACAAGUCGUCCUUCAACAAUACAAGACUCCAUUAGGUCUUGAGGUCUCUGUCCUUCUACAUGUUGAAGAAGAAGAUCAAAGUGACCUCAGCAGUCCAGAUACCAGUGAGGAUGAAGAGGAAAACAUAAUUUAGAUAGAAACUGCACAAAGGACUGCGUUUAAGGAAAUGGACUUGGCAUAUAUCUGUGUAGUGUUAGUAUGCUAACUACAUUAUUAUCUGUAUGCAUCCUAUAUUGUUGAAAUGUUCAACCUGUGUCUAGAUUAUCAAGCAUGUUAUUUAGCACGUUGAUGCUCCUUAAAUAUGCACAAACAUCUCAAUAUAGGUGCAACCAUUGUAUGAUAUUAUCAGAUGUAAUAAUUGAACUGAUGUUAUAUUUGGCUAGUGUAUUCAUAAUUUGUGUAUUUAAAGUUGCUAAUGGGCAUUGUUAGCCACAUCACAAACUCACUGUUAAAACACUGCUUAUUGUGCCUUAUUGUGUUUAUGUACUUGCAUUGGUGCAGUAAUAUCGAUGUUAUGCAGUAAGGUCAUUGGUGUGUUUUACAAUGGCUUUGAACAGAGCUCAACCAAUCAGAAUAAUCAUUGAUAAUAAAGUAAGUUUUAUAAUGGGUAAGUUGAUAUGAAAUAUUGUAAGCACAUUCAUCAGGAUGACUUUGCUGACCUUGUGACCUUUAUUACCACAUUUAGGCCAAAAUGUGAAAACUCUACUUGAUUGAGUGUAUUAUAGGAUUGUGCACCAUUGAAGAUAAACAUCAUAAAUUCUUUCUUAAAGAUGGAUAAUUUGUUGGCAAUGUGUCUGUCACUAUCAGUUCUGUUCUUAUAAGCACAUUGUACAUUAAAGACUAUAGUAUGCAAAAGAAAAAUACACUACAUUUAUAUUUUAUGAUUAUACUUAUAUUGUGUAUUACUACAUUUGAUAGAUAACUUUAUUCCCUGUUCUGCUGGUGGUUUUCAAGUGAACUUCACAGUCUAGUGUUAUUAAAUUCAGCCUUAUGGCUUGAUUGACAAAUUUGCAUUUCAUGUAUUUUCACUGCUUUUAUUGUGAAAGACAAAAAAUAAAGUGUUUCUAAACA